CCCCCCCCCACCACAUCACACCAACAGGGCAACAUGACUACUAGUCUUUCGGCUGGGGCGGCCACGGGGAAAAACAAAACCCCCGAGAUGAAAGGAUAAACCCCCUAUCCACGAACCACCAUUCUAAGAAUCAACAAAUGACACCACUGACCCAACACUUGAUCAACGAACCAAGCUACCCUGGGGAUAACAGCGCAAUCCAUUUCAAGAGACCUCAUCGACAAAUGGGCUUACGACCUCGAUGUUGGAUCAGGGCAUCCCGGUGGUGCAGCCGCUACCAAAG
rnacentral:rRNA from 1 species